rnacentral:telomerase_RNA from 1 species
GUGUGGCCUGUGUCUAACCCUGCUUUGCUUUAGCCAUGGAUUCUGUUCUUUUGUCCUCUGCCCGCUGUUUUUCUCCCUGACUUCCAGUGUCCCAGGAAAGUCCAGACCUGCAGCGGGCCACCGUGCGGUCCGGUCCGGAGCCGCCCCGCCCGGAGCCCGCCUGGGGUCUUGGGACUCCGCUGCCACCGGGAAGAGUUUGGCUCUGUCAGCCGUGGGGCGCCGGGGCCUGGGGCCAGGCCGGGCGGGCGAGUGCCGCGAGGACAGAAACGGAACUGGUCCCCGCAUUCGGUGGCUCUCCUAAGCUGCGGGAAGUGCACCGGGACCCAGGCUCUCUCAACC